rnacentral:rRNA from 1 species
GUUGUAAUUUGAAGAAGCGUAUAUCACGUUUUUGUUCGGGUUCAAGUUCCUUGGAAUAGGACAUCAGAGAGGGUGAGAAUCCCGU